CGCCAUUAUCGGUGGAUACAUGUCUGAAACUGGGUCCGAGAAUACAUGCAGUUAUUGCUCUGAAUAUACGCGGAUAUUUAAAGUGCAUGGCGGAUUUGAUAAUUGUUAUGGAUAACCUCCAGCAGUAAGAAAUAUAAAGGCUCACUGCAGUUUUGAGUGCUCAACAAGUAUUGACCCCAUACUAUGCUCAGCAAGUAGGACCCUUGUAUUUCUGUGAAUCCUCAGGCAGUACAGUACUGCUGUUGGAAGAGGAGCAAACAGUGUGGUAUCUAUGGUCCACCAUCACUUCAAGCAUCAUGGCUAUGGAGAAAAGAAUGUUUCAUUACAUAUGGACAAUUAUAGUGGACAAAAUAAGAAAAGUGUUGUAAUAAGCUAUGGAAUGUGGCUUGUUAUGAUGGGUCUACAUGAUGACUUGGAGUACAACCUGAUUGAGACCCGGCAUACAGAAUUCAGUCCUGAACAUGUUUAGAAUGUCUUCUGCAUGACCUGGUAUAGAUAGUAUUCUUGAAGGAUUAUAACUUCAACACAGAGACGGAGAUUAAUAUUUUUAGGCAGGGGGUUGGCAUGACAGGCAAAUUCACCAACUGUAUUACCAUUUCUGAGCUGGAUGCCAGUCGACAGUGUUAUGAAAUAGCGCCCCUUUGCAGCAACAGCAAUGUAUGCUCAAAACCAGCAGUGUCAAAGCCAUUAAAAUUGAUAAUUCAAGUCAUUUAAAACGAAGAAUGACUGGGUGGAAAAAAAGUGUUUAACAUUUAAAGUAAUACAGAGGAAGAGCUCUGAAAUUUUGAAUAAUUUGAAAGUGUUUUUGAUUGUUUGAAGAUGUACUAGACCCAAAUUCCAUAUAUUUGAAAAAGAACAAAUGACACAUAUAGUUUAUGUAAACAUUGAAUUAACAACUUUAUGGUGUCAACAGUACUAUGCAUUUGUUAAAUAUUGACUCACUAUAUACAUGUAAGGCUGAACACAGUAUAAAUGUGAAAUUCCUCUAAAACACUGGAAGAUUUUUCAACAAUAAUUGUAACAUAUAAUAAUGUCUAUUUGUAACAGUAAUGUACAUUUUUUUUUUCAUUACGACAGUUGGAUUAUAUAGAUCUACGAAUAUUUUCUGCUGUAUUCAAACUGCAUGUAAUCAUUUCUGUCAGCCAGUAUCAUGUUUAUUUUCCCUUUUCAUGAACAAUUAAUUUAACCCGUCUUGAAAGCACAAUAUAUGUA